ensembl:misc_RNA Metazoa_SRP Metazoan signal recognition particle RNA
GCCAGGCAUGGUGGUGGGUGCCUGUAGUCCCAGCUACUCAGGAGGCUGAGGUGGGAGGAUUGUUUGAGCCCAGGAAUUCUGGGCUGUAGUGCACUACACUGAUUGUGUGGGUGUCUGCACUAAGUUCGGCAUCAAUAUGGUGACCUCCUGGGAGUGGGAAACCACCAGGCUGCCUAAGGAGGGGUGAACUGGCCCAGGUCAGAAACAAAGCAGGUCAAAAAUCCCAUGCUGAUCAGUAGUGAGAUCGCGCCUGUGAAUAGCCACUGCACUCCAGCCUGGGCAACAAAACGAGACUGAGUCUCUU